rnacentral:rRNA from 1 species
AGGGCACCACCAGGAGUGGAGCCUGCGGCUUAAUUUGACUCAACACGGGAAACCUCACCCGGCCCGGACACGGACAGGAUUGACAGAUCGAUAGCUCUUUCUCGAUUCCGUGGGUGGUGGUGCAUGGCCGUUCUUAGUUGGUGGAGCGAUUUGUCUGGUUAAUUCCGAUAACGAACGAGACUCUGGCAUGCUAACUAGUUACGCGACCCCCCGAGUGGUCGGCGUCCCCCAACUUCUUAGAGGGACAAGUGGCGUUCAGCCACCCGAGAUUGAGCAAUAACAGGUCUGUGAUGCCCUUAGAUGUCCGGGGCUGCACGCGCGCUACACUGACUGGCUCAGCGUGUGCCUACCCUACGCCGGCAGGCGCGGGUAACCCGUUGAACCCCAUUCGUGAUGGGGAUCGGGGAUUGCAAUUAUUCCCCAUGAACGAGGAAUUCCCAGUAAGUGCGGGUCAUAAGCUUGCGUAGAUUAAGUCCCUGCCCUUUGUACACACCGCCCGUCGCUACUACCCGAUUGGAU